rnacentral:rRNA from 1 species
GAUGAACGCUGGCGGCGUGCCUAAUACAUGCAAGUAGAACGCUGAAGGAAGGAGCUUGCUCUUUCCGGAUGAGUUGCGAACGGGUGAGUAACGCGUAGGUAACCUGCCUGGUAGCGGGGGAUAACUAUUGGAAACGAUAGCUAAUACCGCAUAACAGUAGAUGUUGCAUGAUAUCUACUUAAAAGGUGCAAUUGCACCACUACCAGAUGGACCUGCGUUGUAUUAGCUAGUUGGUGAGGUAACGGCUCACCAAGGCGACGAUACAUAGCCGACCUGAGAGGGUGGUCGGCCACACUGGGACUGAGACACGGCCCAGACUCCUACGGGAGGCAGCAGUAGGGAAUCUUCGGCAAUGGACGGAAGUCUGACCGAGCAACGCCGCGUGGGUGAAGAAGGUUUUCGGAUCGUAAAGCUCGGUUGUAAGAGAAGAAAGAGUGUGAGAGUAGAAAGUUCACACUGUGACGGUAUCUGACCAGAAAGGGACGGCUAACUACGUG